CAAACAGGCGAUAGAACAGUCACAUAUACAUACACUUACACAACUCCAGAAGGGGAAGUUAUUCAACUGCCAUCUGGAACCAGUAUGCCUGCCGUCAUGGAAACACGAAAAAAGAGAUCUCCAGAUGCGGAACCUAUCAUUGACCUUGUUAACGGUCUCCUUGGUGGUCGUAAAAAGAGAUCUGCAGAUGCGGAACCUAUCCUUAGUCUUGUUAAUGGUCUGCUUGGUCGUAAAAAGAGAUCUGCAGAUGCGGAACCUAUCAUGGACCUUGUUUCAAGUCUGCUUGGUCGUAAAAAGAGAUCUGCAGAUGCGGAACCUAUCCUUAGUCUUGUUUCAGGUCUGCUUGGUCGUAAAAAGAGAUCUGCAGAUGCGGAACCUAUCCUUAGUCUUGUUUCUGGUCUCCUUGGUGGUCGUAAAAAGAGAGCAGUUGGUAAAAUAGUUGAUGAACUUGGUAACAUUCAAGAAGUGCAUGCCGUCAUUCCAGUAUCACUUGAUGUCGUUCCAGUAGCAGUUGAUGGAGCUCUAGACAAAGUUGGUAAACUUCUAGGCGAAGUUGGUGGAACUCUAGGCUGAGCAUGAAACAUUGGAAGAACCGAUAUUGCGCAUCAAAAAGAAUCUGACUCGGACCACGUUGGACCACGUUAACAGAUGUUUCCUGCUCUUCUGCAUUCUUCACUGCCACCUCAAGCCAAUCAAAUGAAAAUCCAGAAUCAGAAAUCAUAAAGUGUAGUUUAGAUAAAUUCUGUUAAAUUGAUUUUGUUCCAUUUUGUAAUGGAGAGUUGAAUAUAAUAAGAACUCUCCUAUUACUAUCAUGGAGGAUGGCAGACGCUUUGCAAAAAUAAAAUAAAAUAGCAACUGCA